GGUUGCGAUCAUACCAGCACUAAUGCACCGGAUCCCAUCAGAACUCCGCAGUUAAGCGUGCUUGGGCGAGAGUAGUACUAGGAUGGGUCACCCCCUGGAAAGUCCUCGUGUUGCAACCC
rnacentral:rRNA from 1 species